rnacentral:rRNA from 1 species
AUUGAACGCUGGCGGCAUGCUUUACACAUGCCAGUCGAACGGCAGCGCGGGCUUCGGCCUGGCGGCGAGUGGCGAACGGGUGAGUAAUGCAUUGGAACGUGCCCAGUAGUGGGGGAUAGCCCGGCGAAAGCCGGAUUAAUACCGCAUACGACCUGAGGGUGAAAGCGGGGGACCGAAGGGCCUCGCGCUAUUGGAGCGGCCGAUGUCGGAUUAGCUAGUUGGUGGGGUAAAGGCUUACCAAGGCGACGAUCCGUAGCUGGUCUGAGAGGACGACCAGCCACACUGGGACUGAGACACGGCCCAGACUCCUACGGGAGGCAGCAGUGGGGAAUUUUGGACAAUGGGGGCAACCCUGAUCCAGCCAUGCCGCGUGCGGGAAGAAGGCCUUCGGGUUGUAAACCGCUUUUGUUCGGGAAGAAAUCCUCUGGGCUAAUACCCCGGGGGGAUGACGGUACCGGAAGAAUAAGCACCGGCUAACUACGUG